AUCAAGUAAGUUAAUUAUUAUUUUGUUAACGUUUUUAUUUUAAUAUUUCCAAUUGGAUACAUGACGAAUGGCUUUAUUUCAUUCAUGUGAACAGAGUACAUUGUCACAUUCUAAGAAAAUUUUGGCAAAAAUUGGGGCAUAUUUAAAAAAAAAAUUCAUGCAAAGCUAAAAUUAAAAACUCAUCUUGCAAAUCGAAAUUCUAAUAUUAAUCUUUA
rnacentral:misc_RNA from 1 species